GGAGUGGUGGUUGCUCCUAGUCGCAGACUUCUUUAUUAAUCUCAAUCUGGAUCCGGGCACGGGGAGCGAUUGACUGAUCGACGAGACUCGAGAGCCUGGAGAGCCGGGGGUUUCGCUUCUCGUUGCGUUUGGAGUCUUGCCGGGUCUCGGUUUUCGAGCAGAUCCAGGGAACACCGGUUUUCCUUUGAUUUUGCCGAAAUUUUUGAUCUGAUCGGAGCGAUCCCGGAGCUUCGCAAGGAGCAAGGCAUUUUUCUGGGGGCCAUGGCCAUGGGGCUCGGCCGAUUCACACACUGGCUCUGGCCGGGUAACGCCGCGCGAGUUGGCAACCACGAGCUCCCCGGCAUCGCCUUGACGGGCGCCUCCUUCCCGGAGUUCCCCUCCGGGUUCCGUGAGGCGGACGCUAUCGCCUUCUCCAGUGCCGCCGCCGGCCGCCGCACGCGGCCGAGGAGGGUCAAGAACCAGCGGCGCAGUCGCGGGGAGCCCAGAAUCGACAGGGAGUACGACAUGGUCAUCGUGCCGUCCGACGGCGGCGGGUGCCUUUCCGGGUCCGAGUCCGACGACUCCGACUGGUCCAUCGGCUGGCUGGAGCCGCAGGCGCCGGAGAUGCAGACGGACGGUGACCAGGAGACCUCCUUCGCCGUCCUCGUGCCCUGCUACCGCCACGGCCGCGCCGAGCAGCCCGCGAUGCCCCAGGGACGCUUCCUUGGCGCUGGCCCUCUCGCCGAUGGCGGCCUCUCUGAUGGAAAGAAUUUUGUAGAGCAGUGGCUUUCUUCCCUCCAGAACUGAUAUCUGGAAUCUCCGUUAGCUAUGUUGUAUAUAUUAUUGCUCAGUAUCAUUAUCGAUGAAGGAAGACAUCAAAACCCAAAAAAAUGAGAAAAUGGAAAAAGAACAAAAAGAGGAGCAGCGGAAUUUUGAAGCAGCACUGAACGGGUUUGUCCUUCCGGAGGUUUCAAGGCUAAUUCUACUCAUUGCAAAGCAAGGCCAAUGCUGAACAAGACCAGCUGCGCUGCGGGUCGUAGAAGACACAUUCAUUCUUAUUAACCAAUCUACGACAACAUUUGUAGAUAUUAUUUGGUAUCACAUCGUUCAUUUUGUCCCACUUUGAUUCUGGACCUCGACCCUGCUACUGGCAUGUGUAUAUAUGGUGUCAUUUGCCGUGUAUAUAUAAGCUGCAGAUGUGCAGCUCCUCAGUGUGCGUGUGUGUUGAUGUAGAUCGGAACAGGAUUGCUCCUUGUGAAAUUCAGAUGUAUAUAAGCUUUUUGCGUUUUUGUGGAACAAGUUCUUGGCUCAAUUUUCUGACCUUUUGUUGUUGU
rnacentral:rRNA from 1 species